ensembl:misc_RNA Y_RNA Y RNA
GCCUUGGUCCGAGAGUAGUGGUGUUUACAACUAAUUGAUCACAACCAGUUACAGAUUUCUUUGUUCCUUCUCCACUCCCACUGCUUCACUUGACCAGCCUUUC